CUGCUGCUAUGCCACCACCCGCCGACUCCACUCCCACACGACCCACCCCGAGACAGAUCUAGAUCGAGACCCUCUCCACCGGCGGCCUCCCCUUCCUCAACCUCCUCUCUUCUCCCAGCCCCCGCACACAUGGGAAACUACUGCUCGGCGUCUCCAGCAAUCAAGCAGCGGCCAAGGCCGGGCUCCCGGGCUCCGUGCGGCAUCGUCUCUUCCUUCCCCGCCGUCAUCUGUCAGCGUCAUCGUCGUGGUCUGGCCCUUCGCGCCACAACGGUAGAAGAUAGCGACAGAGUGGGAAGGUUUGUGCAAAUAUCUUCUCCUCCAUCCCCGUCCGCGUCAAAGCUGCUGGGUGCAUCCAUCCAACAUCUUCAGAUCUGAGUGAAGAGGACAUCCGUCCAUCUCAAAAGGCGAUGGCUCCAAGGCAUCUACAAUCAGUAUUUGCAUGUUCUUAGCAGACAAAUCUGGGAGAAUGUACUAGCUGCAUAUAUUGGUUCUUGGGUUUAUUAUUAGAGCUUUUUAUCUGCAUAUAUACAUAGGAGUGAGAAUGCCCAGGUAUGCGACCCUAAAUUUAGUUUCACUGCUUUCUUACUCAUGGGAUUUAUCCAAUUAAUAACUAUAAUGGAUUAAUGAGAAAAAUACAAGGGAAAUUAGCUUUAUAAAAAUGAAACUAUUCAUGGUAAACAUUUGGCAGAAGAGAAUCACAAAAUGAACAACAGCCUCCCUCACGGGAAACAUGAGGUGUGGUAAAAUGCUCACUUAAAAAAUAAAAACUAGAGAUUACUUCCUGGUUUCCUUAUUCCUCGUUGCUACUGGUGCUGUCUGUUUAGGUAACCCUCUUCCUCAUGGUGUUCAGCUGGUUGGCACCAAUCUACUAAGUAUACAUAAAGUGAAUUUGAGUUAUAUAAAUAAGCUAACUGUCUACAAGACAUCACUAACAUAGAACAAAAUGAUGUAGUCUAGAGUGCAGCAUGACUUUGUUUUUUCUGCUCUUUUUCGUAAGCAUACCAAAGAAAAUCCAACCUCAAGCCUUUGAAAGUUUGAACCAUUGAUCUGCUCUAUGCUUCCUAUCCAUUUCACAUCAAUUAAGUGCGUCGACAUCGACAUCGACACGGGGCUGGAGCGGCGGCGACGACGACAUCGACACAGGGCUGCUGCAGCGACCACGACGACAUUGUGACGGUGCUGUGGCGCCGACAACGAUGACGACAACAUCAUCACGGUGCUGCGGCGCCAACAAUGACGACGACAACAUGGUCAGGGUGCUGCAGUGGCAGCGAUGCCGACGACAUCAACACGGGCUUGUGGAGGCACCGACGCUGACGACCUAUACGCGUGGCGUAUAUUGUAUAUAUAUGCGCAUUAAUUGUCUAUAUCAAAUAUGUAUGAUUGACUAUAUGCAGAACAUGUACUAUUAUGAAAUGCAUGUGACAUGAGUACUAUGAAAUGUAUGUC